rnacentral:tRNA from 2 species
GGGCGUGUAGCAUAGUUGGAUAAUGCACUGGCCUCCUAAGCCAGGGAUCGCGGGUUCAAAUCCUGCUGCGCCCG